AGCGAACGCUGGCGGCAGGCCUAACACAUGCAAGUCGAACGAAGUCUUCGGACUUAGUGGCGGACGGGUGAGUAACACGUGGGAACGUGCCUUUAGGUUCGGAAUAACUCAGGGAAACUUGUGCUAAUACCGAAUGUGCCCUUCGGGGGAAAGAUUUAUCGCCUUUAGAGCGGCCCGCGUCUGAUUAGCUAGUUGGUGAGGUAAAGGCUCACCAAGGCGACUAUCAGUAGCUGGUCUGAGAGGAUGAUCAGCCACAUUGGGACUGAGACACGGCCCAAACUCCUACGGUGGGCAGCAGUGGGGAAUCUUGCGCAAUGGGCGAAAGCCUGACGCAGCCAUGCCGCGUGUAUGAUGAAGGUCUUAGGAUUGUAAAAUUCUUUCACCGGGGACGAUAAUGACGGUACCCGGAGAAGAAGCCCCGGCUAACUUCGUGCCAGCAGCCGCCGUAAUAC
rnacentral:rRNA from 1 species